rnacentral:rRNA from 1 species
ACCGAAUAGAUACCCAGGUAGUCCACGCCCUAAACGAUGCGAACUGGAUGUUGGGUACAUUACGGUACUCAGUGUCGAAAGCUAAACGCGUUAAGUUCGCCGCCUGGGGAGUACGGUCGCAAGACUGAAACUCAAAGGAAUUGACGGGGGCCCGGCACAAGCGGUGGAGUAUGUGGUUUAAUUCGAUGCAACGCGAAGAACCUUACCUGGCCUUGACAUCUGUCGAAUCCUGCAGAGAUGCGGGAGUGCCGCAAGGAACGACAAGACAGGUGCUGCAUGGCUGUCGUCAGCUCGUGUCGUGAGAUGUUGGGUUAAGUUCCCGCAACGAGCGCAACCCUUGUCCCUACGUUGCCAGCACGUAAUGGUGGGAACUCUAGGGAGACUGCCGGUGACAAACCGGAGGAAGGUGGGGAUGACGUCAAGUCCUCAUGG